rnacentral:rRNA from 1 species
AUUGAACGCUGGCGGCAUGCCUUACACAUGCAAGUCGAACGGUAACAGGUCUUCGGAUGCUGACGAGUGGCGAACGGGUGAGUAAUGUAUCGGAACGUGCCCAGUCGUGGGGGAUAACUACUCGAAAGAGUGGCUAAUACCGCAUAAGACCUGAGGGUGAAAGCGGGGGCCCGUAAGGCCUCGCGCGAUUGGAGCGGCCGAUAUCAGAUUAGGUAGUUGGUGGGGUAAAGGCCCACCAAGCCGACGAUCUGUAGCUGGUCUGAGAGGACGACCAGCCACACUGGGACUGAGACACGGCCCAGACUCCUACGGGUGGCAGCAGUGGGGAAUUUUGGACAAUGGGCGCAAGCCUGAUCCAGCCAUGCCGCGUGCGGGAAGAAGGCCUUCGGGUUGUAAACCGCUUUUGUCAGGGAAGAAACGGAUUUCUCUAAUACAGAGAUCUAAUGACGGUACCUGAAGAAUAAGCACCGGCUAACUACGUGCCAGCCGCCGCAGUAAAAC